UACCAGCACCCCGAGUGGUCGGGACGAUUAUUGGGCCUAAAGCGUCCGUAGCCGGUCAUGCAAGUCCUCCGUUAAAUCCACCUGCUUAACAGAUGGGCUGCGGAGGAUACUACAAGGCUAGGAGGCGGAAGAGGCAAGCGGUACUCAGUGGGUAGGGGUAAAAUCCUCUGAUCCAUUGAAGACCACCAGUGGCGAAGGCGGCUUGCCAAUACGCGCUCGACGGUGAGGGAUGAAAGCUGGGGGAGCAAACAGG
rnacentral:rRNA from 1 species